rnacentral:other from 1 species
UGUUUCCUGAAAUGUUCGAUAUCCUGUUAUUUUGAACCUACAUGAUGUAUAAGGGAGUUCUAAAUGUUAAAGUAGAUGUCAUGCCUAGGUGCUAUGCUCCUAUGAUAGGAAGACUGAACCUUUACUGCGAACACCCACCUAGCAGGGGCUAGGUGUCAAAAUACAGGGAACGGCAUUUCGGGUCAUUC